rnacentral:lncRNA from 1 species
UCAUGUCCACCACUAAACUAUGCAAGCAACAAACAUACAUAGCAUUACAUAACAUAUCAUCUCUUUAGCAACUUACAUUACAUAACUAUCACUAUAAACAUAUACAAUAAGCAUCUCUCCUUAUACAUAAACAUAAACAUAACUAAGCUAUUACAACCAAACAUGGCAACCCAUGCUUGAACCUCUUCUAUCCCAUAGCUUACUCUGACUGAACUCAGGCUACUUACUCUGGCUUGACAUACUCUGGCUUACUUACUCUGGCUUACUUACUCUGGCCCUGCAAAACUGGGGGUAAGGGAAUGGGGUGAGCUACAAGAGCCCAGUGAGUAGAAACAGAGAAAAACAUUUGAUUUAGUUCCUCCAUUUUUAGGUAUAUUAUUAUGCCUUUUAUUGUUCCACCCUUUUUAUGUAUUUUAUUAUAAAGACAUUUUAUUCAAU